GACGAACGCUGGCGGCGUGCUUAACACAUGCAAGUCGAGCGGUAAGGCCCUUUCGGGGGUACACGAGCGGCGAACGGGUGAGUAACACGUGGGUGACCUGCCCUUAGCUCUGGGAUAAGCCUGGGAAACUGGGUCUAAUACCGGAUAUGACCUCAUGACGCAUGUUGUGGGGUGGAAAGCCUUGUGCGGCUAGGGAUGGGCCCGCGGCCUAUCAGCUUGUUGGUGGGGUGAUGGCCACCAAGGCGACGACGGGUAGCCGGCCUGAGAGGGCGACCGGCCACACUGGGACUGAGACACGGCCCAGACUCCUACGGGAGGCAGCAGUGGGGAAUCUUGCGCAAUGGGCGAAAGCCUGACGCAGCGACGCCGCGUGAGGGAUGACGGCCUCGG
rnacentral:rRNA from 1 species